AGUUUUUAAUCAAUUUUACAACUUUUAAGUGAAAAUUUAGGAGGGAAAAUUACCUCCAUAAUCAAUAAAUCAUUUAACUUGGUUAAAAUUUUAUAGGAAUAUUGGCAGAUAAACUCCCUCCAAGUCUCCAACUCCUCCAAGUGCAUAUAAAAAAAAAGUGAAAAAUCGUAGUAAAACUUCUCUAAAGUGGAAAAUCACUUAUGAUCCACACCAGAAAAUACCAUUAUCUUCUGAUUUCAAGCAUUUAUCCAUCAUCUACCUUACUCUAUUCUCUUUCUCAAGUGGGAAAUCUCAAAUUCAUAGGGAUUGACCCAUUUUGAUGAGUUCUACAAGUAGCUGAUGGCAUUGUUCUCUUUCGUGGAAAUUUGGGAAUUGAUCUCCCACUAGAGAAGGUCUAGUUCUUUUUCCCAUGGUGUUUUUGGAAAAUUAUGUGUAUUUCUUGAAUGUGAAUCAAGGUUUUAAUGAAGCAAUUUAAACAAUCUACAGACAAUGGUAUUUUUAUUCCAAAAGGCUGCUCUGCUCAAGUGUAACAUGGCUGGUAAGCCAGUAGUGGUUACUCGUGUGGUGGAUAGCAUGACUGAUAACCUUAAUUAGACCCACACGAGCUGAGGCAACUGAUGUUGCAAAUGCUGUAUUAGAUGGGAGUAAUGCAAUUAUUCUAGGUGCAGAGACCUUUCGUAGCUUAUAUCCAGUUGAUACCAUCUCUACUGUUGGCAGAAUAUGUUUUGAGGUGUUUAUAUCUCAUGGCAGACGAUUAUGACCUUCAUUGUGUGGAGGAUUUGGAGGAUGACGAUGAUAGCUAUGAGGAUGAUCUUUAUGAUGUCAACAAGGAGAAUGAUUUGGGUGAGCCGGAAGAUCAGGCUCAAGAUGAGUUUGAGCGUAGGCUUGAAGAGUUUGAACUUUCAGCCAAACGUGCGUCUCCUAUUGAAAAUGCAAUUUCUGAGAUGGUUGGUGAGAAUUCUACUCCUCAAACUCAAAGCCAAGGACAUGAUGAUCAAAUGAACACCGGUGGUAGAGGGGGGGUUAAGGCACCAGCUAUGAGAAAGGGUAGGGGUCCAACGACAAGUUUUAAGAAGCCUACCGGUGCUAUGGUGUUGGAGUAUGACAACAAAGGACAACCUACGGGCGAAUGGCGUCGGGAAUAUGGAAACCAAGUUGGCAUGUGUGCGCGCAAAAUACCCAUUACGUUUGGUUGGCGGCAAGUACCUCCCGGCUUGAUUCAAACAUUUUGGGAUGAUACAAGGGCAAGUGUUUUGUUUGCACAUUUACACAAUUAUAAAUACCUUCACCUUACGGUUGUUUGUAAAUAGAAACUAGUUACUGCUUUUAUUUGUGCUUGCAGAAGCUGUUUAAUACUCGUAAUGAUGCCGACAAGAGAAGGUUGUUUGAAUCUUUAGUAGCGGAAAGAUUCAGAGGCUUCAAGACCUUCUUGACUAAUGGAUGGAUCUUGUGGCAUCGUCAAGGGAGUUUGCAAGUGCUAAGGAUAAAUCACCUGUCGAUGCAAAGUUGUCAUACUACGGUCGAAUACAAGAAAUAUGGGACCUUCAAGACCUUCAAAAGAAGAAGAAGAAACGAAAGAACAAAGCCUGCAAGGGGAAGGAUAAUGAAGGUGGAAAUGACAAAGUUGUUGAGGAAGAAAAACUCCCAUGGCAAAUAUGGCCAAGUGUUAAGGAGGAUGAGUGGAAUGCCUUCGUUCUUCAAAGAAAUAAAAAAAAACGCUGUUGAACUUUGAGAGCAAAAUAUGGCAAAUGCAUUGCAGAAGGAGAACAUCCAUCGUAUGGGGGCCAAGACAUUUAGUGAAUGGAGGGUAACUUGGAUCAAAGAGAAAAUAUACCCCAUUUUGCUUGAAGGGUUAUCCAACGAAACCUCUAACUCCACGAUCACUACGUUAGUGAGUCGUGUUACGAUUUCAUUUGUUCCCUCCAUUUGUUUGAUAAAGAAACCGGAAAAUGGCUCAUCAAGGAACCGAAAACAAAAAAAAAUGGUUGAUAAACUUCUUGAGUACACUACAAAAGUUGUUCAAGGCAAGAUGGUCCCAACUGUAGAGAAAGAUCCUUUCACCUUGGCUUUGGGAAAGCCCUACCAUCCAGGAUGGGUAGUAGGUUAGGGGGGGACAUUGAUAGGAUGGGAAAAGGUGAUGGGUUCAUAAUAAACAAAAUCGGGAAGAUCUCGAUCAAGUGUUAACUUAUCGGGUGACUUGGAUGCCAAGGUAGCAUCAAUUAAGGAACAAGUCCGCAAUGAGUUAGUAGGUGAAUUCAAUGCUUGGGCGGAGCAAAUGAAUUUACCCUUGUCGUUCCCCUCAACUACACCGAUCAACUCAAGUAGUCACCCACAAGGACAAGGUGAACAUGAGAGACAUGGAGAAGAUGAGAUACAUGAGGUCGGUACUCCUACACAUGCGGACUUUAGGGCGCUUGAGCAUCCAACACUCCAUGAAUUUCCAGAUUUACAGGAAGAGACCCAGUGUGUACUUCUAGCCCCGGGGCUAUCAAAUAGUGUAUAUUUGCAUUUGGUGGCAUAUGGUUGUGCAUAAGCAACGACCGGUGAUACAGUCCAUUUUCGACCGCAUAGGCCACAACAUUACUCGGUCGGGAUCAAUUCUUUGAUUGAUGGGUUCGAAAACAUCCCACUACCGGUGCCCAUAGCGGAGGAUGGGAUUAGUAUACUUUGGGAAGCAAAAGGUAGCUAUGUGCAAUGGCCACGUGCUUGGGUAAGGUUGAUCAACGAGGUUUCUAAAGACUUAUCUUUGCAAAGGAUUCAAGAGGAGCAAAAAGAGCCAAGCAAAGGAGCUUUAAGUCUCAUGGAGAGGGCUUGGAGAGGGCUCGGAGAGGGCUCUCCUCUUUUUCUCAAAGACGCGGGCGCGGGACCCAUUGGGCCGCGGGCGCGGGUUUUGUGCACUCUUUGGGGAUUUUUUGGCAGGAACUCUCUGCGCCCUACCCGCGGGUGCGGAGAUGUUGGAGAGGGAGCUCCGUAUCAGAGAAACCGCGGGCUUGUAUUGGAAUAGCGCAUUUUGUCGCGCCCUGUGCCGCGGGCGCGGGUUUUACCCAGACUGCCCGCGGAGGUAGUUAUAGGUUCCGUAACCAUUUCUCUGCGCCCGCGGGGUCUUUAAGGAGAGGGCGCGACCGAUCAACUUUUGUUCUUUGCCUAUAUAUACUCUUGUAAAUCCUUUUGAAGGCCAACUUUUAGAUAAUAUUUCAUUUGCUUAA